rnacentral:rRNA from 1 species
UACGAAGGGGGCUAGCGUUGCUCGGAAUUACUGGGCGUAAAGCGCACGUAGGCGGAUCUUUAAGUCAGGGGUGAAAUCCUGGAGCUCAACUCCAGAACUGCCUUUGAUACUGAGGACCUUGAGUUCGGGAGAGGUGAGUGGAACUGCGAGUGUAGAGGUGAAAUUCGUAGAUAUUCGCAAGAACACCAGUGGCGAAGGCGGCUCACUGGCCCGAUACUGACGCUGAGGUGCGAAAGCGUGGGGAGCA